AUGAAUUUUGAUAAUGAUGAGACCGAAUAUGAUCCACCUUUACCUAGAAGGCGUUCCAAGAAUUCGGAAUUUUUUGAUCUUGAUGCUAAAAUUGAUAAAAGUGGGAUUGAAGAAAUUAAAACCCUAGAUGUUGCUAAACCCACUAUUAUGGAUUUCAAGGAAUUUAACUAUAAAAAUUGCUCUUUGAUUGAUUGUAUUUCCUUGUUGCAAUCCGUGCUAAAUUAUCCUCAUGCUUAUAGUCAAAAUAAAGCGUUUACUAAACAUAUCGUUGAUGCCUUGAUGCAAUCUUAUGAAGAAAAACUUGAAUUGGAAGUUUCUAUGCCUAGAAAGCUUUAUGAUGAGUGGGAACCAACUAUUAAAAUUAAAAUUAAAGAUCAUGAAUGCUAUGCUUUAGAAGAUUUGGGUGCUAGUGUUUCCACGAUUCCAAAGACUUUGUGUGAUUUGUUAGGUUUCCGUGAUUUUGAUGAUUGCUCUUUAAACUUGCACCUUGCGGAUUCCAUUAUUAAGAAACCUAUGGGAAUAAUUAAUGAUGUUCUUAUUGUUUAA
rnacentral:rRNA from 1 species